GACGAACGCUGGCGGCGUGCCUAAUACAUGCAAGUUGAGCGCUGAAGGUUGGUACUUGUACCGACUGGAUGAGCAGCGAACGGGUGAGUAGCGCGUGGGGAAUCUGCCUUUGAGCGGGGGACAACAUUUGGAAACGAAUGCUAAUACCGCAUAAAAACUUUAAACACAAGCUUUAAGUUUGAAAGAUGCAAUUGCAUCACUCAAAGAUGAUCCCGCGUUGUAUUAGCUAGUUGGUGAGGUAAAGGCUCACCAAGGCGAUGAUACAUAGCCGACCUGAGAGGGUGAUCGGCCACAUUGGGACUGAGACACGGCCCAAACUCCUACGGGAGGCAGCAGUAGGGAAUCUUCGGCAAUGGACGAAAGUCUGACCGAGCAACGCCGCGUGAGUGAAGAAGGUUUUCGGAUCGUAAAACUCUGUUGGUAGAGAAGAACGUUGGUGAGAGUGGAAAGCUCAUCAAGUGACGGUAACUACCCAGAAAGGGACGGCUAACUACGU
rnacentral:rRNA from 1 species